UGACCUUGAUGUUCUGUCUGCAGAAGAUGAAACAAAAACAAAUUUUGGCAAACAUGACAUACAAAAGUUCACAUUUUGAGAUGAAUCUUUAGCUUUUUAGAUGUUGACAAAAGGAUCACCUCAACACAAAGCGUUUAAUCAUACUUCGAAGUGAUGCAACUAGAGAACUGUAUGCAGGCAGUGGAACUUGUGUAGAGCUGUGACGGGUGCAACAGCAGACCAGUCUGGGUAAAUCACUGAUGGCAGAAUGGAGGAUCCCAAUAAUCAAACAACUCUUUUAAGAACAAGGUCUUCUUCAGAAAAUUCAACUAAGAACUGCAAUGUGGAGAAAAAUGUGAUCCAAAAUUGGACUGGAAUUCAAAAAGUUAUUCUAGAAGUUGGUCAUUUGUUGAACAAUCUAAUUUAAUAGAUCCUAAAACAAUAUACUCAAAGGUCUUAGAUUUUGCAUAUAAACGUCAUGAUGAGUGUGUUAUUAAUCGUCUUUAAGUCUUCCAAAUGGUGAUCUUGUUGCUGUUAAGGCUAAAUACCACCGAAAAAAGGGUUGUCUUGCAAGUUAUUACAAUACUGCUGAUUUAAACAUUGAAAAGGGUGACAAAUACAAUAUCACUUACAAGAAGCUGCCAAAACUUUGAAAGUAGAAUUUGAACACACAGUCAUUGUUGAAAAAUAAGUUGUUAAAUUAACCACAUUACGACAAAAAUUUAUACAGCUCUGUAUUAAUAAGGGAUGCCAUGAAGCUGAAAAUUACAAAACAUCUUACCUUUAAAAACUUUUGAGUGAAAUUUGGCCCGAAAUAUCCUUUAUUCAUAAGAGGGGAAACACAGAUCUUGUGUGUGAUUCAACAAAAACACUCCAGGAUGCAAUUAGGGACGCAAACCACUUUGAAGAACUAGCCCAGGCUGACAAUGAGGUAUCAUAUGAUAUCGAAGAUGAAACCGACAGCUCAAUUGUACAUAGAACUAUAGGAAUAUUGAGAAAACAUAUAUCUUCAUCUGUUAAGAAGCUUGAAAAUCAAUAUUAUUCUCCUGAUGAAAUGACACUAAAUGCUCAGAAAGACUUUCUUGACCCACUUCUUCUUCAAGCUGUGUAUUGGUUGACAAUUGAAAAUGUAUUUCAAGCAGCUGGUGAUACAGAGCACAUACUAAAUGCAAAAUGUCUUGCUAUUGCAAGUGACACAUCAUUACAAAGCAAUUGGGGCCAAAGAGAUUUAUUUACUCACAGGCAGAAACACUACUCACGUAGACAAAAAACGUUUCAUUCCAAUCCAUGAUGUUGUUCACAAGCUGACUGAAGAUCAUAUGAAAAUCCUGUUGACAGUUUAUUGUAUCACAAGCUGUGAUACAACCAGUGGGUUUCAUGGGAAAGGGAAGAAAGAAGUAUUCAAUUUGUUUAUGAAAUAUGCCAAGACUUUCCAGAAUUUGCAUGAUAUAGGUGAACAAUUGAACCUUCAGAAGUUACAAAAGGAUGCCUGUGAAAAGUUUGUUGCUCUCCUAUAUGGAAAUGAAAACCUCACAUUGAAUUAAAUCAGACGCAUUCGAGCUGCAACAUCUGCACAUCCCAAAGCCUUGCCUCGAACCAGAGACAGUUUUUAUCUACACUGUCUCAGAUGUCUUCUACAGCUCUGGAUAUGGCGCCAUUCCCUUUUUGCAAAACAUGACUUGCCAUCACUAACAUUGUUUGGUUAUCAUUUUGAUAGCAAUAACAAUUUAGUUCCAACAAUGAUGAAUCAACCAAUUGCUGCUCCAGAGAUUCUCAAUGAUCUGACGUGUGACUGUGAAAUAUGUGAGGACUUUACAUGUCGCUGUUUUAUAAACAAACAGCCAUGCACAGCAGCCUGCAAGUGUACUGCAAAUAUGCACACACAAGAUAUGCUUUGUGCCAAUUUGCAUACCUUGAUAUUAGUGUUUGAUCAAGAUAGUGACAUUUCUGAUACUGGAGCUUGAUGUGUGUUCAAACAGCAGUAAAUAGACGGUUUGACAGUUGCAUUAGGAUUUAAAAUAAAUUAUAAAAAAGCAUAAUUGAUAAGAAUAACUUAUUUCAAAUAAAUCAGAAAACAUAUUUUCCAUGUAUUACCUUGAUAUAACCCAAACAAUUAAUAAAAUAAUAACAUAUGGUCAAGUGUUUUCCUUUUUUUUGUCAUUUUAUAGGUCAAACACAGUUCACUAAAUCUUGUUAGUAUUGUCAACACGUUAGAAAAGUCGGUAUUGUAAGUACAAUGUACACUUCUCAAUGCCAUGUCUGUAUUGCUGUGACAUGAUAUUGUUUUUUCCAUAGAAAGACUGAACUUAAAGUUUACCGAUGUACUUCUCUAGUAUAUGUUACUUGUUGACUUAACACUACUCGAUUAUGAAAUAUAAUGUAUUAUCUUCAGAGAUGCAAUAUUGAGUAUCUAUUGAGAUUUGCUUGUAUUUCUGUAUUACAUACUUAUCAAUAUUAUUUAUGUUAAUAUUGAUUUAUUAUAGUUUUAAAAAAUGACAAAAAAAAAUCGAAUGACACAAGUGGUUUGUAACCUUUAACAAUUUAGUAGAAUGCAAUCUUUCGGUUUUUAUAUUUACAUCCAGUUGGUAAAACAUUGUUAAGAAGUAUGUUCAAAGAUUGUUAUAUUGUUCAUAACUGUGAUUGUAUGUCAUUGCACAAUAAUUUUGACAUGUUCAUCUUAUUUGAAAAUAAUGUAUAAAACAGUAUGAUUAAUAUACAUGUAUGUGUCACAAAACACAUGUGAGGUGGUUCCAAAAGGCAUUUCUGAAAUAAAUGAAUGUUUUGUGAUGUAACAUCCCUUUAUUAUAGUCAGUGAAUGGUUUUGUCAAUCUAAAUGACAUUUUCUUUAAUACUUAUCUACAAGUUGAUAGAAAAAUAAUGACCUAAGAACAUGUACAAGAUAUAAGUGGUGUGUAACCUUUAACAUUGUAAUAGUGUGUCACCGGUUUUAAAUUGUACAUCUAGUUAAUAAAAAGUGUAUUAUUGGUUUAAAUGCUUGUUGUAUUAUUUGAAGCAAUUGUGUGUGUGUGUCAUUUCACCAUAACCAUGACAUGUGCAUCUUAAAUAUAAUAUUGUAUCUUACAGUAUGUUUUAUAUAUGUGUCACAAAACACACGUAAGCUUGUUCUAAACUGCAUAACUGAUAUAUUUCAUGAUUGUUAUGUAAUGUAAAAUCUAUGAUAAUACUCAGUAAAUGAUUAUGGUAAAAUAAAUGUCACUGUUUUUGUAUUAUUUAUUAUUUUCUUGCAUUUAAGUGUAAAACAAGUGUUAUAAUAGACACUAAUUUGACCUUUGACCUUCGUUUUGACCAUGACAUUUUUUUUUAUGAACUGAGUUGUUGUUAAUAAUGUAUUGUGUAAAUAUACAAUAUUAAAUAUGUAUUUUUAAUACAGUAUGGUGUUGUUAUUCAAAAUAAAUUUUAU